rnacentral:tRNA from 1 species
CACCCGAUGUCUGACAUAAAGUAUAGGUCUUUUAAACCUACGAUAGUGAUUUAUUCACUUCGAGUGA